GACGAACGCUGGCGGCAUGCCUAAUACAUGCAAGUCGAGCGAACAGAUGAAGUGCUUGCACUUCUGACGUUAGCGGCGAACGGGUGAGUAACACGUAAGGAAUCUACCAAUAAGCGGGGGAUAACAUUCGGAAACGGGUGCUAAUACCGCAUAAUAUCUGCUUCCGCAUGGAAGAAGAUUGAAAGACGGCUCUGCUGUCACUUAUAGAUGACCUUGCGGUGCAUUAGUUAGUUGGUGGGGUAACGGCCUACCAAGACGAUGAUGAAUAGCCGACCUGAGAGGGUGAUCGGCCACAUUGGGACUGAGACACGGCACAAACUCCUACGGGAGGCAGCAGUAGGGAAUCUUCCGCAAUGGGCGAAAGCCUGACGGAGCAAUGCCGCGUGAGUGAAGAAGGCCUUCGGGUCGUAAAACUCUGUUAUAAGGGAAGAACAAAUUGUAGAGUAACUGCUACAGUCUUGACGGUAUCUUAUCAGAAAGCCACGGCUAACUACGUGCCAGCCGCCGCGGUAA
rnacentral:rRNA from 1 species